rnacentral:lncRNA from 1 species
GUGGCGGAUAUUCUGACCAAAGGUCAUCUUUUUCUAGAUUGAUUGACAAGAUGGGGCUUCAAGAUAUCUUCGGCUCAUCUUGAGGGGGAGUGUUGGAAGGAUUGAACAUAAUUAAAAAAAUUUGUCUAAAUAAGGAUCCAGGGAUAUUAUGCCUUAGCAUAUUCUUGAUAUUCUUUGGUAUUCCUUGGCAUAUUCUAGUUAUUCCC